GAGAAGUUUGGGUCUUCCCCAGUGUGGUUGCAAAUAUUUCACUUGGAAAUAGUUUAUUCUUCAGGUUUAACGUCGAUUGUCGUGUUGUAAGAACCAACUUGAGGACAAUGGCGUGUCCUGCUGAGACAAGAAAAAGGCACAUUAGCGAUUUCUUUUCUCCAGCCAAGGUAUUUUGGAUACCAAAACAACUUUGUAAUAGUCCCCAAAAGUCUUAGUAGGUUUUAUAUUUAUAUUUAUGUAUUUUCUAUAUUACAGAGGAGUUCAGCUAACCUUUCAGACAACCUGCCAGAAACUCCUAGCACUUCUCCAGAACCUGAUACCAAGGUAACACACGCACACCUUUUUAUUUAAUUUUUUUAUAUAUCCUGGAACAACUGAGGUCCAUGAUACCGGACCCUAAACCCAAGGGUUUACCUGACCUGGCUAGGGAUGAGACGAUGUGAGCCAGUGUUUCCUCUUGUGGCGAUCUCGACUCUCCUGAGUCCGCGGG
ensembl:lncRNA